rnacentral:rRNA from 1 species
AAUAUUGCGCAAUGGUGGAAACUCUGACGCAGCGACGCCGCGUGAGCGAUGAAGGUCUUCGGAUCGUAAAGCACUUUCCUUGGGGAAGAAGGACGUCAUUUAUGACGCCUUGACGGUACCUAAGGAGGAAGCACCGGCUAACUACGUGCACGCAGCCGCGGUAAUACGUAGGGGGCAAGCGUUGUCCGGAAUUAUUGGGCGUAAAGGGUGCGUAGGCGGCCUGUUAAGUCAGAUGUGAAAGCCCACGGCUUAACCGUGGGACUGCAAUUGAAACUGGAGGGCUUGAGUAUCGGAGAGGGUAGUGGAAUUCCCAGUGUAGCGGUGGAAUGCGUAGAUAUUGGGAGGAACACCAGUGGCGAAGACGACUACCUGGACGAAAACUGACGCUGAGGCACGAAAGCUAGGGGAGCAAACA